rnacentral:rRNA from 1 species
UACAGAGGGUGCGAGCGUUAAUCGGAAUUACUGGGCGUAAAGCGUGCGUAGACGGUUAUUUAAGUCGGGUGUGAAGGCCCCCGGGCUCAACCUGGGAAUUGCAUUCGAGACUGAAUAGCUAGGGUACGGUAGAGGGAAGUGGAAUUUCCGGUGUAGCGGUGAAAUGCGUAGAUAUCGGAAGGAACAUCAGUGGCGAAAGCGACUUCCUGGACCAGUACCGACGUUCAGGCACGAAAGCGUGGGGAGCAAACAGGA